rnacentral:lncRNA from 1 species
AUUCAAUGUUGGAAAUGAGUUCUGUUCGAAUCCUUCUUGUUUUUGCACUUGCACUGUUCAUCAAAUUCCCAUUUGCGAAUACAUAUAAUUCAACGGAGUCCUGUGGACAAAAAGUACCUGGGAAGAAAGCUCUUGCUGAACUUGGACAAUAUCCCUGGAACGGUUUUCUAGUUAAAAAAACCGUUGAUUUCCAUAUACAGGUAUUCUGUAAUGGUGCCAUAAUCACCCAACGACAUCUCUUAGUUACAAAAUCUUGUAUUGAUUAUCAUCCGAGUGAUCCUAAUGUAAGUAAAUUUAUUUUAUUUUGCCUAUAUAUAUUUAAUUUGAAAACAAUCCUCUUCCUUGAGAUAGUACAUUAUUUUACUUGGAACCAUUCAUUCCGAAAAUGAAACAGAAUCUCAUGUAUAUAAUGUACAUAACAUUACGUUUCAUCCUAACUUUAAUAGUGUUACCUCUGAAAAUGAUCUUGCUAUAGUACGCUCAAAAACUUUAUUCACUUUUAAUGAGAAUGUAGCUCCAAUCCAAAUUAUAUCCCCAAAUUAUGAGUUACAAAAGGAUGAAAAUAUGACAGUCUCAGGACGCGGUAUAUUUUAUACAGAUGAUUCUAAUCUUGGUUAUUCAGUUGUACAAAAGACAAAAUGUCGUCAAGAUAUACCCACGAGAAUAUUAUGCACACAUUGGAAUGAUAUUAGUCAAGGUGGUCUAAUUGGUGCACCUUUGACACUUUGUCAAGAAAAUGAAUGUAAACUGGUUGGAAUAUCUACUUUUUCCUCUAAUUUCGAUAGAAAAUUGUUUUAUAUGGACGUUGGAAAAUACGAAGAGUGGAUAAAUUUCAUUGCACCUUAUAUAUCAUACAUCUACAUUCAAUAGAUAAAUAACAAAGAAAGAUAUUUUCUUUUUAAAUUCAAGCAUGACUUUUAAACGAGUAAAGUUAUUAUGUGUGUCUAUUUAUAAAUGCAUCUUCCUUCUUAUUACAUUACCAUUAAAUAAAAUAAGUGUGCCAUUUAUUAUUAUUUUAUAUAAUUAAUAAGUCAAAAUAUAAGUUUUUCCU